rnacentral:rRNA from 1 species
AUUGAACGCUGGCGGCAUGCCUUACACAUGCAAGUCGAACGGUAACAGGUUAAGCUGACGAGUGGCGAACGGGUGAGUAACGUAUCGGAACGUGCCCAGUCGUGGGGGAUAACUACUCGAAAGAGUGGCUAAUACCGCAUACGACCUGAGGGUGAAAGCGGGGGACCGUAAGGCCUCGCGCGAUUGGAGCGGCCGAUAUCAGAUUAGCUAGUUGGUGGGGUAAAAGCCCACCAAGGCAACGAUCUGUAGCUGGUCUGAGAGGACGACCAGCCACACUGGAACUGAGACACGGCCCAGACUCCUACGGGAGGCAGCAGUGGGGAAUUUUGGACAAUGGACGCAAGUCUGAUCCAGCCAUGCCGCGUGCGGGAAGAAGGCCUUCGGGUUGUAAACCGCUUUUGUCAGGGAAGAAACGAGUUUCUCUAAUACAGAGACUUAAUGACGGUACCUGAAGAAUAAGCACCGGCUAACUACGUGCCAGCCGCCGCGGUAACAC